rnacentral:rRNA from 1 species
ACACUCCUACGGGAGGCAGCAGUGGGGAAUUUUGGACAAUGGGGGCAACCCUGAUCCAGCAAUGCCGCGUGAGUGAAGAAGGCCUUCGGGUUGUAAAGCUCUUUUGUCAGGGAAGAAACGGUGGUGGCGAAUAACUACUACUAAUGACGGUACCUGAAGAAUAAGCACCGGCUAACUACGUGCCAGCAGCCGCGGUAAUACGUAGGGUGCAAGCGUUAAUCGGAAUUACUGGGCGUAAAGCGUGCGCAGGCGGUUGUGUAAGUCAGAUGUGAAAUCCCCGGGCUCAACCUGGGAAUUGCAUUUGAGACUGCACGGCUAGAGUGUGUCAGAGGGGGGUAGAAUUCCACGUGUAGCAGUGAAAUGCGUAGAUAUGUGGAGGAAUACCGAUGGCGAAGGCAGCCCCCUGGGAUAACACUGACGCUCAUGCACGAAAGCGUGGGGAGCAAACAGGAUUAGAAACCCGUGUAGUCCCAUGAU